GCUGGCGGUAGGCUUAACACAUGCAAGUCGAGCGAGAAAGUAUCUUCGGAUACGAGUAUAGCGGCGGACGGGUGAGUAACGCGUAGGAAUCUACCUAGUAGAAGGGGAUAGCCCGGGGAAACUCGGAUUAAUACCGUAUACCUCCUUUGGGAGAAAGAGGGCCUCUCUUGAUGCUCUCGCUAUUAGAUGAGCCUGCGUAAGAUUAGCUUGUUGGUAAGGUAAUGGCUUACCAAGGCUACGAUCUUUAGCUGGUCUGAGAGGACGAUCAGCCACAUUGGGACUGAGACACGGCCCAGACUCCUACGGGAGGCAGCAGUGGGGAAUAUUGGACAAUGGGCGCAAGCCUGAUCCAGCCAUACCGCGUGUGUGAAGAAGGCCUUCGGGUUGUAAAGCACUUUAAGCAGGGAGAAAAAGUUAUAAGUUAAUACCUUAUAGCCGUGAUGUUACCUGCAGAAUAAGCACCGGCUAAUUCCGUGCCAGCAGCCGCGGUAAUACGGAAGGUGCAAGCGUUAAUCGGAAUUACUGGGCGUAAAGCGCGCGUAGGUGGUUUGUUAAGUUGGAUGUGAAAGCCCUGGGCUCAACCUAGGAACUGCAUCCAAAACUAACUCACUAGAGUACGAUAGAGGGAGGUAGAAUUCAUAGUGUAGCGGUGGAAUGCGUAGAUAUUAUGAAGAAUACCAGUGGCGAAGGCGGCCUCCUGGAUCUGUACUGACACUAAGGUGCGAAAGCGUGGGUAGCGAACAGGAUUAGAUACCCUGGUAGUCCACGCCGUAAACGAUGACAACUAGCUGUUGGGAGACAAUGUCUUUCAGUGGCGCAGCUAACGUUUUAAGUUGUCCGCC
rnacentral:rRNA from 1 species